rnacentral:rRNA from 1 species
CCUACGGGAGGCAGCAGUGGGGAAUAUUGCACAAUGGGGGAAACCCUGAUGCAGCGACGCCGCGUGAAGGAAGAAGUAUUUCGGUAUGGAAACUUCUAUCAGCAGGGAAGAAAAUGACGGUACCUGACUAAGAAGCCCCGGCUAACUACGUUCCAGCAGCCGCGGUAAUACGUAGGGGGCAAGCGUUAUCCGGAUUUACUGGGUGGAAAGGGGGCGUAGGCGGCGAUGCAAGUCAGGAGUGAAAGCCCGGGGCUCAACUCCGGGACUGCUGUUGAAACUGUGUUGCUAGAUUGCAGGAGGGGUAAGUGGAAUUCCUAGUGGAGCGGUGAAAUGCGUAGAUAUUAGGAAGAACACCAGUGGCGAAGGCGGCUUACUGGACUGUAAAUGACGCUGAGGCUCGAAAGCGUGGGGAGCAAACAGGAUUAGAUACCCCAGUAGUC